rnacentral:RNase_P_RNA from 1 species
UGGGUAAGACAGGCAAUCGCGCAGAGCUUCGGGCUCUGUGAGGAAAGUCCGGGCUCCGCAGGGCAGGGAUGCCGGAUAACGUCCGGCGCAGGUAACUGUAGGGAAAGUGCAACAGAAACAUACCGCCUAAGGGCUUCGGCCACGGUAAGGGUGAAAUCGUGAGGUAAGAGCUCACGGGGAUGCAUGGUAACAUGUAUCUCGUGUAAACCCCAUUCGGAGCAAGACCAAGCAGGCUUCAGGGCUUCGGCCCGGUGGCGGCCCGUCACCGCCGGAAGGUAGGUCGCUUGAGUCUGCCGGUAACGGCAGAUCGAGAUAGAUGAUUGCUUAAUACAGAACCCGGCUUAUGUCUUGCCCAAUUU